AGACUUUGAUCCUGGCUCAGAUUGAACGCUGGCGGCAUGCUUUACACAUGCAAGUCGAACGGCAGCACGAGGGUAACCUUGGUGGCGAGUGGCGAACGGGUGAGUAAUACAUCGGAACGUAUCUUGAAGUGGGGGAUAACGCAUCGAAAGAUGUGCUAAUACCGCAUAUUCUCCAAGGAGGAAAGCAGGGGAUCGAAAGACCUUGUGCUUUUAGAGCGGCCGAUGCCUGAUUAGCUAGUUGGUGGGGUAAAGGCCUACCAAGGCAACGAUCAGUAGCUGGUCUGAGAGGACGGCCAGCCACACUGGGACUGAGACACGGCCCAGACUCCUACGGGAGGCAGCAGUGGGGAAUUUUGGACAAUGGGCGAAAGCCUGAUCCAGCCAUGCCGCGUGAGUGAAGAAGGCCUUCGGGUUGUAAAGCUCUUUCGGUCGGGAAGAAAUAGUUGUGGCUAAUAUCUGCAAUGAAUGACGGUACCGACAUAAGAAGCACCGGCUAACUACGUGCCAGCAGCCGCGGUAAUACGUAGGGUGCAAGCGUUAAUCGGAAUUAUUGGGCGUAAAGGGUGCGCAGGCGG
rnacentral:rRNA from 1 species